UACGGAGGGUGCAAGCGUUAUCCGGAUUCACUGGGUUUAAAGGGUGCGUAGGUGGGUCUGUAAGUCAGUGGUGAAAUCUCCGUGCUUAACAUGGAAACUGCCAUUGAUACUACUGAUCUUGAAUUUUCUGGAGGUAAGCGGAAUAUGUCAUGUAGCGGUGAAAUGCUUAGAUAUGACAUAGAACACCAAUUGCGAAGGCAGCUUACUACAGCGAUAUUGACACUGAGGCACGAAAGCGUGGGGAGCAAACAGG
rnacentral:rRNA from 1 species